AUGUGGAUUAAUCCGGUAUGGUUUUUCUCUUCAUUUUUAGCUCGUUAUCGGCAUGUGGAUAAAUCUGGUAUGGUGGUCUCUUUGUGGGGGCAAGUGCUCAUAUGCGGCGCCGGCGUCUCCGCCACACCGGCACCGGCACGGGCGCUGGCACGGGCGCUGGCAGAGGACAAACUAUGUGUCGGCGUAAGCACCAAGAGUGCAAAGACGGCCUGCGUCGCCAACGCCGCACUGACGUGCUUCGCCAUCAACACCGUCACCGGGGAGUCUACCUUCCAGCCAUGCUUCCUCGGUGCCGUCCUGCAGGACAAGUGCUUGGCCAAGGACAAGGAGGCCAAGAAGGAGGACCACUGCAUCGGCGUAGAGAUCAGCGACGAACUACUGCCAUGCGUUGGGCAUUUCGCCUGGAAGUGCCACGCCAGCAUCUUCGUGUACGCUCCUACAUUCCGCAUGUGCUUCUACCGCGCCAUCACCGCCAACUGCCUCCUCCCCUGA
rnacentral:rRNA from 1 species